UCGGUGGUAUUUUCGCAGUAUCGACGUGUGCGGCAGAAAAUACAGGAGCUUGUUGUGGAUGUUGCAGUGGAGUGUUCGUGGGGAAAGUUGCUUUUCACAGGAAAUGCAGGAACAAAGUAAACAACAUAUCUUGAAUUACUAAAAAAGCUGGUUGCGUCAGAGUAAUGUCAAAGUGCUUACAGUGCAGGUAGUGAUAUAUAGAACCUACUGCAGUGAAGGCACUUGUAGCAUUAUGUUGACAACUGCCUCAGGAGAUCUUGCAGGACGUCAGAUUGGAAAGGUACUGUGUGGUGGUGUCAAGUGCUUUUUGUACUAAGGUGCAUCUAGUGCAGAUAGUGAAGUAGAUUAGCAUCUACUGCCCUAAGUGCUCCUUCUGGCAUAAGAAGUUAUGUCUUCAUCCAGUCCCUCAGGUUAACACUGUAGAUGUUCCAGUAGCUUUCUUCUUUGCAGUCUUCUGUUAGUUUUGCAUAGUUGCACUACAGGAAGAAUGUAGUUGUGCAAAUCUAUGCAAAACUGAUGGUGGCCUGUUAUAAUCUACAUCAAGGAAUCUGAAUGCUUUCUGCUGAUUAUGGGAUGUUCUGUGGCCUUUCUCACUUUUAACAGCAGACUAGUGGAUGACAGCUCUUGUAGCACUAAAGUGCUUAUAGUGCAGGUAGUGUUCACUAAUCUACUGCAUUAUAAGCACUUAAAGUACUGCUAGCUGUAGAACUACAUAUUCAGCAUGUUUUGCAGUUUAUUUGUUGUUAAAUUGAACACUGUUCUCUGGUUAGUUUUGCAGGUUUGCAUCCAGCUGUAUGAUACUCUGCUGUGCAAAUCCAUGCAAAACUGACUGUGGCAGUGACAAGUCAGUCAGUAAGUGUGGAAAAAUUGUACCCCUUUCUACACAGGUUGGGAUCAGUUGCAAUGCUGUGUGUUUCUGUGGUAUUGCACUUGUCCCGGCCUGUUGAGGUUGGUGGGGAUAGAGGCUGAAACACUUCAUAGUUUCAAGGAAUUUCUACCUCUCUCUGAUCUAGGAAACCUGAAAACCUUAAGUUUCUCCUUGGAAAAAAUGUCAUGUAAUUUUCAUUGUAACUAGAUACUCAUUUUCUGUAUCUGAUUUGUUCGUGUGUACUGGAUUUGUUGCUGAUAAUUAUUUUCUGAAGUCCUUGUGUGUGGGGGAGGGCCUUCAUUUAUUCUGGUUUGUUUCUUUUAAAAAAAAAAAGUUAUGAGGAGUCUUCUAUUAAACUGAGAUGAAUGCUUAUUUACAAUUUCUUCAUUACUUUGCUGGGAAGAAAUGGGUCCUAAGAAACAAAAUCUUUGAGCUUGUUUCUCAAAUUCAAAUUACAUGAAUUGUUAGCUUUCUUCUGUACUGUUUUUUUAAUUUUUACUAUUAUCAAAGCUAGGUGUUCUAAUUAGUAAUUUAACAGUACACUUUUAAUUUUGAUCAGGAGUAGUAAAGAAGGUUGCAGACAGGGUCUUAAUGAUGCCUCAGCUAUGGCAUCUUUAAUAGUAGUUAGGUGUCUGCAUCUUGUGAGGCAUCUGCAUUUGUGGGUGUAACACUGGUCAUCUUGCAAGCUUUGGAGUAAUUUACUUAGCAUAUGAUGCAUAGCAAUAAAAAUAGAACAUCUCUACAGCUAUCUGAAGAGCUCACCCAUACAACUGUUUCAGAAAGGCUGGGGACAAAUUCAGUAUGUGGCUUCAUAAGGAAGUAUAAAUGUAAAAUCUGCAAGUGGAGCAUUUGACAUAUACAGCCUUUGAAUGAGCCACAUGCUUGUGAGCUGCACUUGUAGCUCAAACAUCAAUGGAUUUAUUUUCUAAAGUGGGCUUUCUAAGUAAUAGCGCUGCAAAUUCCAAGAAGUACUCAGUUUGUUGUACAGCUGACAAACUCUGUAUAGUCCUCUAAAACACCUGUGUGUUAGAAGAAUUAAGUAUAUUUGGGUCAAUGCUGCCCUUGCUGUUCUUAAAUUAAAGCAGAAUAUUAAGCUAAAUGAGUCGUCGUUCCCAAGAUGGUGUUUUCCAGAGUAUGUCAAUGUAUGUCAUGAUGCUGUCUCAGAAUUUCCAUUACUCCAAUGCCUAGCAAAAUGUUAUUUCUUUUAAAUUUCUUUCUGAAGUAGCCAAGCAAUCUUAGACUUUUCCUUUGUGCCCCUUUUCUUCUACUCCAAAAUUCCUCAGACAGGUUCCUUACCCAAAAUACCCUUUCCCAAACUUAAAAUUUUCUUUAGUUUUGCAGAUUUAGAGGGAACUUGUCUCAGUGAAGUCAGGUAAAGAAGCCAAGUGUCUCAUGUCAUGAUUUCUCUUCAGUAAGUGCCUGUAAUAAUCUGCUAGUGAUGACAGGUUUAACUCCUUUUUGAAUUAAAAAGCUGUGUGCUUUCUAGCACAAGUUGAAGUACAAGUGUUUUAAUAUGUGAUUACAUUUAUGUUGUCCUGUAAGCAGUAUAUUUUGAAGUAUACAUCUUUGAUUCAGUCAAUGAAGCUUCUUAAAAACCGAGUGCUUACGAACAGAGUUUUUAUUCCAUGGAAUUUUAAAUUGUCCCAUCACAUUUAUUGGAGAGUACCUACAUAGUUUUCUAAAACAUUUGUGUAAAAAAUCAAUUGUCAGAACUAUUACCGUUCUCAUUUAAUUUCUUAAUUGCCCAGCCUUCCCAGAAAGGAGAACAAAAAAUGAACAGGAAGAAAACCUAACAACUUGUGUACAAAAAAAAUAGUUGUACAUGAGUACAACUGCAAGGGUGCAACAAAUAAUUUUACAGCUGAUACACCAUUUUAAAGGUAAUGGCUAGCUAUGCUUUGUUGGGGAGCGGUUACAAUUAUGCCUAUGUAAACUCUAAUAACCAUCUUCUUGUGCGUACUUUAAAUGCAGCUUCAUCUUGCUAAUUGUAAAACUUGUACAAUCAGAAGCUUAUUAAAUGCUUUUAAAAAAAUAA